GUCGAGUCGAGUCGGAUCGAGUCGAAAGUAGCGAGCUUUUCGAGCGUCUCGCAUGGAUUCCACGCCCGAGACGCGUCCCCCUCGUCGAACGCGAUUUUUUUCUCCCCGGAGAAAUUGUAUUAUAUAUAUAUCGAACACGAAUGUGCGUUGUGUGGUUGAAUGUACGUAGACCGAAAAUCGGACAUCUAUGUAGCGUUAUGUAUAAAGGCGCGAGAAGAUUUUUGUAUAAAAAAACGUGUACAUAAUUAAUAUAUAUGCAUAUAUAUAUAUAUAUAUAAAAAAUACAGAUAUAAAUACGAUUAUAAAUAUACGAACGUAAGCGCGAAAUAUAAACACGUAAUAUACGUAUGAAUGUAAAGAAAUAUAUAUGUCAGAAUUACAGUGUCUUGCAAUCGUUCAAUCGUAUAUCCAACGAAGAGGAGAGUGUAUAUAUGUAUAUAUAUACACACACACGCAUACACAAAGGUAAGUCUGGAGAGAAUGAAAAAUCGACGAUACCACCUCCCCCCCCCCUUUCCUUUCCCCUUCCUCGGACGAGCUAGUUCGAAGGAGAAGUAUGGCACUCUAAGUAUUUUCGAGCUAACAACCAUUUCCGAGCAUUCCUGCACGAACGUAUUUCAAUAUAAACAAUCGCCGGGCGAAUUUCCCUGGGCGCACGGCAGCGCGGCGGCAGUGAUUUCUGGCCGACGUGACGGCGAUGCCUUCGUCUGCGAGCGCGACCCCGAGUGCCCUCGCUCGAGGAACGCAACUCGUUUCGAUUCUUCUUUAACCUCUCUCCUCCUCCUCCUCCUCCUCCUCCUCUUCGCUCGGUUGUCCGCUCGCCUCGCGGACUGCCACUCUUCCUCCUCUUCGUAUGCCUGCCCGAACGCUAAACGUAAGUAAGUAAGAAAGAAAGGAAGAAAGAAAGUAAGUAAAGUAAGUAUGUAUCCUUGUUUCGUUUCUCUUGGGAUUCCUCGCGGUGACGGAGCUUUCGCGGAAUUUUCAAACUGUACCGAGACGAAAAUCCAGAAGAAAUUCCAGAAACGUUUCGCAGGUGUCUGCCGGUAUAUACGGAGUUCGGAAGCGUGGCGAGCAUCGCGCGUUCUACGAGGAGAACGCAUAAAACGGGGAUAAAUCACGCGAAGGAUGCCGAGUUGGGCUAGGGCGGAGAAGCAAAAACCCGAGUGCGAGAGAAAGAGAGAUCGGUGGCGUGGAGCGCGGAGAGCCUCGACGAACCAGCCGGAUGCUUAGAAUUUCGAUAAAUCUAACUUGGCAGGAGAAACAAACGGCCCAGUGAGAGACUUUUUUUCCGUCCGAUCAUCGUCCGCCGUUUUUGGCUCCCGUUCAAAAAUCUCGCUUCUUUUUUCGUACCCUCGAAUCCGUAUCCUGUGCACGCGAUACGUAAACGAAUAAUGGGCGAUAGACGGACGAAAUUAACGAGAGCUCGAUUCAUCGAGAGGAAUUAACGCGAGAACGGGAUCGAGGGGAGGGGAGAAUCGCGAUAUCGCCCGACUCACGGUUACGUCAUCUUCUAUCACCGUCCACCAUCCGCUAUCGACGAUAUCGACGAGAACCGCCUCUCUCCGCCGCCCCGAUCGAACUUAACUUUCGAGUAAACAGCCAUUCUUACUGCUGUCUUUCUCCAAUCGUUAUGCGACUCGACCGCGUAACGCGAUAACGACUGCUCGAUACAUAAGUAACAUCGAUCAUAACGCGUACGAUGAAAUCGAAAAGUCGAGUUUUAAUUCGCGAUGCCUCGAAUUCUGAUCAAAAAUGGCCACCUUACGAACCGUAUACCGGUGAAGAACACCCAUCGAUCAAAGAUUACGCGGCUCGUCAAACCGACUUCCGUGUCCGUGUUCCGUUUCUUGAUGGAGUAAUGCGCGUUCGUUGUGUUUCAAUUGGUAGCCGCGGCCCACACGCGACUCGCGAUUCGUUCGAUCGAGCCUUACCUCGCCCCUGUCGCGGUGAGGACGCGUGAACGCGACGAACGAGGCCGUUUUUAACGAGCUCGCGCGCCUACCCCGUACACGCGGUCCCGCGUAAACGAGAGGCGGAGCAACCGCUUCCAAGAGGUCAGAGGCCACUACCAAUCGCAAUCUCCCGAUAACCACUCUUCUCACUGGCUCCUCUCCUCGGAUCAACGCUGAAGCGCCACUUUUUUCCUUUCUAUUUACACGUACCGAGGAUGCGUGGACGCAUAUGCGCCGCCUUCUCCUUUCCUCCCUUUCCCACCUAUUCGCGUCACUUUUUCCUAGGAUACGCUGUUUUUUCAUCAAUUGUCGUAAUCCGUAAUAAGGCCGAAAAACCUAACCGGAUCUCAACUCGAAGGACUAUUCGUCACAGGAAUCGAUCUCGUCGCGGUUCUCUCUUCGACUACCUCGACCGUUGCGAUAAACGAUGUGUCGCGACAUUCGCAUAAUCGUUCGAUUUGUACACGUCAUUCUUUCGCUCGUAACAAUUUUCGUCGAAGCGAUGUUAAAAGUUUCGCGUAUGCCUUUCGAUUUCCUAUCGACUAUGUUUUACACGGAAAGAAUCAUUUUUUUCUUUUUUUUCACUCACGUUGCAUGCUAUUUAUGUAUAUAUACGUGUGCUUUUAACUAAUCGUUUCUUUUCACUACAUGACUAUUUGAACUACGUAACAAUAGAACUAUUGAACUACGGAAUCACGUAUCUUCGUUUCAUUGUUUUAUCUUCUUUAAGUGGUUUUUCUUCUUUCACAAAUGAUUCAUAGGUAAGUACGAGCCAUCCAAAUAAAAAUAAAAAUUUUGCUUGUUCUUGUCAUUUUUUUCAACUGAACAUAUGUGUGGAAUCGGAACGAAAAAUAUCGCGGCAUUUUGUGAAACUUUCUCCGAUUAUCCUAUUAGCGCCAUCGUUCGAUCAAUUUUUGAAUCUCUUACGUCGUAGUUAAAACCAAUAAUAUUGUAUAUAUACUAUCGAUAUCAUUCUGUGAGUUUCGAUUUGAUUCGGUCAAGGAGAAUCGAUACUGUUUUGAUAUUUAACGAAAAUAUCGAUACAUGAGUUCGAUAUUGAGAACGAUACGACGAUAGAUAUUAAUACGAUGUUAACGAUCACGAACAUGUUUGAUUCCAAAGUACACGUCAGAAAAUUACGUAAAAAGUUAAUAUAAGAGAGCAUCUUUAUCGACAUUAUCGACGGAUAGUCAGUUAAUUAGUAGAGCAUCACAAGCGCUUUCGUCUUGUUCUUUUUCUUCUUGUAUUCAUAAUUGAAAAUAAAUCGUUAUAGAAAGAACGUACGUGUUGAAUUAUUGCAUUACGAACUUUUUAACUCCUUUUUCCUUUAAUUCUUUUUCUUCUAUUAUCAAAUUUAGUGAAUAUAGUAACAAAUCAACAAUUAGAAUCAAUUAAUUGGCGAUGUAGUUAAAUCGAUCUUCAAAUGUAAUUUAUAAAAUGAAAUGUAAAAAAGUAAUGGCCAAUUAUAUCGAUUUCGAAAAUCAAAUUAAAAUAAAAUAUCAUAUUAAAUCGAUUUAAUAAAAUAACUAAUGACUAAAAUAAAAAACAAUUUAUUAACGACAAUAUCUAUAAUUACACUAUAAUGUAUCGCGCGUGGGAAGCAGUAUUUCAUUUGAUAAUAUCGCUUAGCUUUUUUUUCUUUUUUUUUUUUAUCGGACUGUUAAAUGGAUUAACCAUCGUGUAAUCGAUUGAGAUAACCAGCAAAGAGAACCUAUUAGAGGAUAAGAUCAAAUCGAAUAGCGAUGAUUUUGAGGAUUAAAAUGUUUCGGUGGUUUCCUGCAAAUCCUGAUAAAAUUGUAAAAGAUGAAACGAAAAAUAACGGGACGAGAGAAGAUUAGAUAUAACGAAUUUGAAUAAAUUAUCAACCACAUUCAAACUUCUGAAAACAACUAUUUUCUAUUGGACAUUGUAUUCUGUUCAUCUUUACCUCACAUUUCGUAAGAUAAAUCAAUAAAUAUCAACGCGAAACUAACGUUAUAUGCGUAUAUAUAUAUAUAUAUUUAUAUUAAAAUUAAACGUGCACGCUGAUGAAACGCGUCUGGAAACACUCAACAAUGAUCAAUAUUGUUUUUGUUGAGAGUCGUGUUACGAAAGAUCCGUCCAAUGGUCAGUUGAACGAUCAGAUGCAUAAAAUGUAUAUGUACAUAUACGAUAAUCAGUUUGUGCAACACUAGAGACACUAUUCGUAAUAUUUUUGUUUUGAAAAAAAAAAAAUAAUUACACGCAUCGACCCAAUUAUUAAACAAUUACGAAUUUAAAACAUCUUGUCUCAUUUAGCGUUUCCUUCGCGUCAUUAUUAUUAAAAACUGUCGUACGUACAUUACAAUGACACGAGAGAUAAUUUAAUUAAUCGGUCAAAACAUCGUAAAAUUAUUCUGACGAAAUAUUAUCUCUUUUUUUAUUCGACAUACAAUUCGAUCUGCACUAGACACUCGAGUGCUUUCGAAAUAUAUAUUUACAAUAUACACCGACAACGAUUAUCGCAUAAUUUAUUAAAGUUUUUUUUUUUUUUUUGUUUAAAUACGUUCACAAAAAAUUGAUAAAAACUUGUACACGCGUGUAUUAAUUAUUUCGAUUAACUUUCAAUCUUAGUAGACAUUUCUUUCGAGUCGAUGUAUUUUCGUAAUUUUCAUCUAUAAUUCACGAAUUAUAUAAUUUCCCAACUUAUUCACGGCAUUGCAUCUCUAAUGCAUAUGUAUUCUUUAUGCUCAGGGCACCAAACACUUGCUGCUUCGAAGGCAUCUCGUGGCUAUUGUUUUAUUUUAUUUAACUUCUCUUUUCAAAAUAAAUAAAUCGUGAUUACUUGGUUCGUUUAGUCGGUAGCAUUGGACGCCAAAGUAUCUCUAUCGGUAAUAUCAGAAUAUUUCAACUCGACGAAGUAAUAAGUUGUUAAAGAUAACUUUCUCGCGUUCUCUCUUUCUCUCAUCCUCUCUCUCACUCUCUCUUCUCUUCACUCUACUUUCUUCUCCUCCUAUAGUUUUCCUAUACUUUCGCAUUUAUUGUGUAAAUCUUUCUCCACUCUAGCGCCUCUUAUCUUUCUUUCACACGUUUCGCGCGCGCAGACACACGGUUACGGAUGCAUCCUGUACAUUACACUAGCAUUACACACUCACUUCCUGCUUUUUUUUUUUUUCAUUUCUAUCGGUGCAAAAAAUAGUCUUGCUAUUAUACUUUUUACUUCGCGUUUUUUUUUUUUUUUUUGCGUUUAAAAAUUGUCGAUUAAAAUUGUACUUCAUAAAUCUAAGCACUCUGUAUAGUAAAGUUAAUACAUCGAAAUCCGUUCAUUUCAUAUGACGCAAAGGUACUCGCGCUUCGAGCAUGAGAGUAUGGAGUAACUAACGUUACAUCUCAUCGUACUUACGUCCAUUUAGAUACACUAGUUAUACGAAGAAUUACGCGAAAUAUAUUCUCUCGUUGACAAACUUCAAGGUAGAAUAUCCAGGCUCGAAAUUUCACAUUUCAAAUAUCGGUACAUGAUCUAACUCGAGAUAAUCGAGUAUUCAAUCGGGUAUUUCAUUCGAUUACAAAAGCAUUCCCGUGAAUAUUUACUUCACAUCGCGCGAAACGUUACGAUGGAACUGAGGCCGUUCAAAUAAGUAAAGCAACAACAAAGCGAGUUUUUUGCUCCACACUCGUACGCUAGAAGUAGUGUUCGCGGACAAAGCUGUACGAAUUUAAUGCUUUGUAAAUAUAUAUAGUAUAUACUACGUGCAGCACAUCGCGUUGCGUGACGUUGUCGUUAACGAAGACACACCGGAUCGUAUUAGGAAGGAGCGAAUAACUUUGAUACAAGUACUAUCAGCCGGAACGCGAUACGUCUCGAACGUGCACACAUACGUAGGUACUUUUUUGUAUGUUACCUGCUUACGGUUAUCUAUUUAGAUGUCUUGUAGCUUAUUUAUCAUUAGUACUAUUACUACCACGGUGCCCUGGCUGUCGGUAAACUACACAACGUAUAGCUAUAUUAGUAUAGCUAAAUAAAUUAAAUAUAGCUAUGUUUUUGAAAUAAAUCUAUAUUCAUCGACCGAGAUAGCGUUAUGCACCAUUCGUGUGCUUUGUUUUUCCUUCAUGUAUGAUCGAUUUUUCACAAUCCAUUCGCUUCUGCUAGAUGCUGAGCGAGAUAUCGAUCUCUCGAAUCUCUCCAUCAUUCGAUCAGGUUCGAUAAAAAGAAAAGAUAGGUUAAUAAUUGUCCGAGUUGAAAAUAGAAAUAUUUGAUUCAAAAUUGAGUGGGAUGUAUUUAAUAGAAUGGUAGAGAGAGAGAAAAAAAAAGAAUGAAAAUAUUCGCGGAAACCGAGUAGGAAAUUUGGUAUUCCCCGUAUAUAAUUAUAGAUUUCUAUUUUAAUUAAUGUAAAAUUAUUAUAAAAGAUAUAUAUACAUCAACCACUAGAUUACAUCGAUUAUCUCUUGAUUAACGUUUCCCUCUUUGUUGUUCGAUUAUUCACUAUGCUUUACCCAGCGCCAUAAAUUUUCUCGUUCUCGCAUUUUGUAGUUUCUGAAUUGGGCUGCGCAUGUACAUGUGUUAGGAACCUUAAUAAGGCAACGAAGGAGCCCUGAAUUUUACGAAUGUAAUCGAUUUUCGUUUUCACAUUCUUUAAGAUGCUUUUAAAGCUAUACAAAUUUCACAAUGCUCAGGCACGAACGAAACCGUUUAUAAAUAAGUAAUUAUUUUAUAAGAAAGAGACCCGGUACCUUAUAUGAUUCUCCUUCUACACGCAAUUUAUUUUCUAUACAUCGUAUUUCUUCUCUUAACCAAUUAAUUAAUUAAUUGCAAUACAUUUUAUUUGAUAAUACAUCGUAUAUAUCAUUGAUACAAAAAAAAAAAAAACUAUAAAGCACAAAAAUUACGCAAAAGCUUGUGCCACGAUACCUAAAGAUUGAUUAUUCCAUAUUACAGCGUUUUCAUAGCGAAAAUAUUUAAUUACAUGUAAAUAAAAAAUUAAAAAAUAUUUGUCGUAUACCGAUAUAUACCGAUAUAAAUUUUCGAUUAUCAAUAUAAUUGUUACAAUCAACAUAAAAAUUAAACAAAAUCUAUACGAUUAAACAUAUAAUCAAUUAUUUUUCGAUCAAUUCAUAGAUAACACUCAGACAAAAGCUCUCAAAAAAUAUAUAAAUAUAAAAUAUUCUUUUUUUAUACCAACAAAGUUUUAAAUUUUUUUGAAUGAAACGUAAGCACAAUCGAACAGAGUACAACAUUCGUAAAGUUCAGUAAUCAUUAACAGAGAAAACAGUGAUUUGUAUACAAAACUUUUAAACAAUAUCAUAUCACAGUACUAGCUAUAAAUACAACGUUUAAAAGAGAGCUAAACCAGUGCUUCGUUAGAAAAGGGAAAGAGAAGAGAGAGGAGAGAGAAAAAAAAAAAAAAAAAAAACACUGAAAGAAGUCCUACGAAAAAUUUGUACACGAUUUGCGAGAAUCACGGGACCGAGGCUCCAUCUUUGUUUUCUUUUAUCAUUAAUAUUUUCACUAUAAAAAGAAAGACAAGGACAG